AUUGAACGCUGGCGGCGUGCUUAACACAUGCAAGUCGAACGUGAAAGUCCUUCGGGCGAGUAAAGUGGCGCACGGGUGAGUAACGCGUGGAUAAUCUACCCUUAAGAUGGGGAUAACGGCUGGAAACGGUCGCUAAUACCGAAUACGCUCCCGAUUUUAUCGUUGGGGGAAAGAUGGCCUCUGCUUGCAAGCUAUCGCUUAAGGAUGAGUCCGCGUCCCAUUAGCUAGUUGGCGGGGUAACGGCCCACCAAGGCGACGAUGGGUAGCCGGUCUGAGAGGAUGACCGGCCACACUGGAACUGGAACACGGUCCAG
rnacentral:rRNA from 1 species